rnacentral:lncRNA from 1 species
AAUUCACAAAAUUCACCAUUUUCUUCCCUUGUGUUGGCCGAACCUCUCAUCAAAGAAGAAAGAAAAACUCUUCCAAGUUUAAGCUUCCAACAAGCUCAAAUCACCCAACUCAAGUCCUUAAACUAGAAUCUACUCCAUGAAAUUCCUUCCUUUGGUGCUCUUGAGUGUAUUAGUGAAGUUGAUUUGAAGAGCUAAGGUGUCCACACUCCCUAUCUCUCUUGAUUGCUUGGUAAGUGAUGCUUGAACACCCUACUACAUCUAAUGAUGGUUAUAUUAUGCUUAGAAGUGGCUUGAGUGUUGGAAAAUGUGAUUUAUUUCUUGAUUUGAAGAGUUUUGGUGAAGUUUUCCAUUUUAUGAUGAAUUUUCUGGUUUCAUAUGAUUUUGAUGU